rnacentral:rRNA from 1 species
AGUGAACGCUGGCGGUAGGCCUAACACAUGCAAGUCGAACGGCAGCACAGGAGAGCUUGCUCUCUGGGUGGCGAGUGGCGGACGGGUGAGGAAUACAUCGGAAUCUACUUUUUCGUGGGGGAUAACGUAGGGAAACUUACGCUAAUACCGCAUGCGACCUACGGGUGAAAGCAGGGGACCUUCGGGCCUUGCGCGAUUGAAUGAGCCGAUGUCGGAUUAGCUAGUUGGCGGGGUAAAGGCCCACCAAGGCGACGAUCCGUAGCUGGUCUGAGGGGAUGCUCGGCCACACUGGAACUGAGACGCGGUCCAGACUCCUACGGGAGGCAGCAGUGGGGAAUAUUGGACAAUGGGCGCAAGCCUGAUCCAGCCAUACCGCGUGGGUGAAGAAGGCCUUCGGGUUGUAAAGCCCUUUUGUUGGGAAAGAAAUCCAGCUGGCUAAUACCCGGUUGGGAUGACGGUACCCAAAGAAUAAGCACCGGCUAACUUCUUGCCAGCCGCCGCCGUAA